rnacentral:rRNA from 1 species
AGCGAACGCUGGCGGCAGGCCUAACACAUGCAAGUCGAACGAACUCUUCGGAGUUAGUGGCGGACGGGUGAGUAACACGUGGGAACGUGCCUUUAGGUUCGGAAUACCUCAGGGAAACUUGUGCUAAUACCGAAUGUGCCCUUCGGGGGAAAGAUUUAUCGCCUUUAGAGCGGCCCGCGUCUGAUUAGCUAGUUGGUGAGGUAAAGGCUCACCAAGGCGACGAUCAGUAGCUGGUCUGAGAGGAUGAUCAGCCACAUUGGGACUGAGACACGGCCCAAACUCCUACGGGAGGCAGCAGUGGGGAAUCUUGCGCAAUGGGCGAAAGCCUGACGCAGCCAUGCCGCGUGAAUGAUGAAGGUCUUAGGAUUGUAAAAUUCUUUCACCGGGGACGAUAAUGACGGUACCCGGAGAAGAAGCCCCGGCUAACUUCGUG